rnacentral:lncRNA from 1 species
AAUGAAACAUGGUACUACUUGGAAAUUUUCUAAGACACUGGCUGAUUUUAGCUGCUGUGUAAAGCCCUGCAGAGCCACUUGGGGUAAAUCAGAUGAAGGACGGAGGAUGGAGGCAUUCUGCACUCGAGUUAAAAUCAAGCCAAGAAAUGAAUCUCUUGUUAGGAAUUUUGCCUGGUGAAUCAUGUUGAACUGAGAGCUGUCUGUGGUGAGCACAGGCAAUAUCCAAUCACUAGCUGUACUUCACCUCCUCACAGUUACACCCUGCUGUGUGAGGAAAGUGUCUCUCUUCCUCAGAAAACAAGAUCCAAGGUGCAAAACCCAUCAACUGGGGCGUCAUGGAAUAUCUUGGAAAAUUUUAGAGCUAGUAAUUUCCUUCUGCCAGGAAUAAUUUGGUUUAGUCUUUCUUUUUCUAAAUGUCCACAUCAGCAGUGGAAUAGCAAAACAUGAAUUGGACUGCCUAUGGACCGUGAUUUACUGUCACUCUUUCCGACCAGGCUUAGACUACAGGCAGGUACUAACCCAGAAGGCAGAAGUCUGGAGGCCUGAAAGAAUUACAGGACAAAAUACUGGCCCCUCACAGGAACUGAGCAAGACUUGAGUGUCGGAAGUCCAGACAUGUAUUACAUUUAUUCAUUAAACAAUGAUGUACUGAGUGGCUAUGUUGAACCAUUUGCUUCAUCACACAACUGGGACACAUUGGUGGUGGAAUGCACAAGAAUCCUUGUGAAAUGAAGUCUGCAC